rnacentral:piRNA from 1 species
UGCUAACAUGCCGUUCGUUGAGUUGG